rnacentral:rRNA from 1 species
UACGUAGGGUGCGAGCGUUAAUCGGGAAUUACUGGGCGUAAAGCGUGCGCAGGCGGUUUUGUAAGCCAGAUGUGAAAUCCCCGGGCUUAACCUGGGAAUGGCAUUUGGGACUGCAAGGCUGGAGUGUGGCAGAGGAGACUGGAAUUCCUGGUGUAGCAGUGAAAUGCGUAGAUAUCAGGGAGGAAUACCGAUGGCGAAGGCAGGUCUCUGGGCUGACACGUGACGCUCGAUGCACGAA